GACGAACGCUGGCGGCGUGCUUAACACAUGCAAGUCGAACGAUGAAGGAAGAAGCUUGCUUCUUCUGGAUUAGUGGCGAACGGGUGAGUAACACGUGAGCAAUCUGCCCUUGACUCUGGGAUAAGCGUUGGAAACGACGUCUAAUACCGGAUACGACCCUCGGAGGCAUCUCCUGGGGGUGGAAAGAAUUUUGGUCAAGGAUGAGCUCGCGGCCUAUCAGCUUGUUGGUGAGGUAAUGGCUCACCAAGGCGACGACGGGUAGCCGGCCUGAGAGGGUGACCGGCCACACUGGGACUGAGACACGGCCCAGACUCCUACGGGAGGCAGCAGUGGGGAAUAUUGCACAAUGGGCGAAAGCCUGAUGCAGCAACGCCGCGUGAGGGAUGACGGCCUUCGGGUUGUAAACCUCUUUUAGUAGGGAAGAAGCGAAAGUGACGGUACCUGCAGAAAAAGCACCGGCUAACUACGUGCCAGCAGCCGCGGUAAUACGUAGGGUGCAAGCGUUGUCCGGAAUUAUUGGGCGUAAAGAGCUCGUAGGCGGUUUGUCGCGUCUGCUGUGAAAUCUGGGGGCUCAACCCCCAGCCUGCAGUGGGUACGGGCUGACUAGAGUGCGGUAGGGGAGAUUGGAAUUCCUGGUGUAGCGGUGGAAUGCGCAGAUAUCAGGAGGAACACCGAUGGCGAAGGCAGAUCUCUGGGCCGUAACUGACGCUGAGGAGCGAAAGCAUGGGGAGCGAACAGGAUUAGAUACCCUGGUAGUCCAUGCCGUAAACGUUGGGAACUAGAUGUGGGGACCAUUCCACGGUCUCCGUGUCGCAGCUAACGCAUUAAGUUCCCCGCCUGGGGAGUACGGCCGCAAGGCUAAAACUCAAAGGAAUUGACGGGGGCCCGCACAAGCGGCGGAGCAUGCGGAUUAAUUCGAUGCAACGCGAAGAACCUUACCAAGACUUGACAUAUACGAGAACGGGCCAGAAAUGGUCAACUCUUUGGACACUCGUAAACAGGUGGUGCAUGGUUGUCGUCAGCUCGUGUCGUGAGAUGUUGGGUUAAGUCCCGCAACGAGCGCAACCCUCGUCCUAUGUUGCCAGCACGUAAUGGUGGGAACUCAUGGGAUACUGCCGGGGUCAACUCGGAGGAAGGUGGGGAUGACGUCAAAUCAUCAUGCCCCUUAUGUCUUGGGCUUCACGCAUGCUACAAUGGCCGGUACAAAGGGCUGCGAUACCGUAAGGUGGAGCGAAUCCCAAAAAGCCGGUCUCAGUUCGGAUUGAGGUCUGCAACUCGACCUCAUGAAGUCGGAGUCGCUAGUAAUCGCAGAUCAGCAACGCUGCGGUGAAUACGUUCCCGGGCCU
rnacentral:rRNA from 1 species